rnacentral:rRNA from 1 species
UUUUUGGAGAGUUUGAUCCUGGCUCAGGACGAACGCUGGCGGCGUGCCUAAUACAUGCAAGUCGAGCGGACCGAACGGAAGCUUGCUUCUGUUCGGUUAGCGGCGGACGGGUGAGUAACACGUGGGUAACCUGCCCGUAAGACCGGGAUAACUCCGGGAAACCGGGGCUAAUACCGGAUAACACCGAAGACCGCAUGGUCUUUGGUUGAAAGGUGGCUUUUGCUACCACUUACGGAUGGGCCCGCGGCGCAUUAGCUAGUUGGUGAGGUAACGGCUCACCA